GGGCCCGUAGCUCAGCAAGGCAGAGCAGCGGACUCUUAAUCCGCGGGUCACGGGUUCAAUUCCCGCCGGGCCCG
rnacentral:tRNA from 1 species